UCCUGGGAUCAGGCACAGAGGUAGAUUUCUGGAGAGAUGGAAGCUCUCCAUCUCUUUAUGGAGAUAUUUAAACACGUGUUUACAUGACGUCCACAUACGAUUCCAUCUGUGAGAGCGCGUGUAUGGCUCACUGUUUCCUUCAGGCACUAGGCACUGUGCCCCAGCAACAAGCAGAUUAUCCGCUGAGCCACUAUAGAAAGUCCAGCCAUGGUGAGCUGAGAAUGACUACAAGGAUCUGGGACCACACACCAUCACACUUGGGGAACUCCAAGGAUGACAAGCAUACCCUCAGAGAUAGCUGGCGGACUGCAAGUCCAUGUAAAGGCCCUCCAAAGAAUACAGAGUAACAGCAGUUAACAAUAAAUGCUGGCUCCAAACACUUGUGU